UCUCAAAGAAUUUGUUAAUUACACGUUAACGUUUCCUGGUCUCCAGGAGGUUUCUGCUUCGGAGCCCGUCUUCUGGAUUUUGAAACCGUCAGAAGCUCUUAUAUUUGUCACCACUGCAGAGAAAAGACAAAAGGCAGCCUGUUGGUUCCAAUGAGUUCACAAUGUAUUGGAGAACAUGGGGCUUGCUUGAGGCAGAAAAAAAUAAAAGACGCCCCUCUCCCCAUACUGUAAGAACUUCAAGUGCCGUAGAACCUAGAUGUGC